CAACACCAGAGUAUAGUUAUGGAAUGAUUAACAGGAACACCUGUGAAAAACUCACUCUCAACACCAGGUUCACAAUGCCUACCGAAGACUGAAGUUUAAUCAGGAUAUCCCUUAAACCCUCCUAACCGACUACCAGUCUAGCAAGCGUUGAGUGAAAAUAAUAUUGGAGUACAGAUUCACACCAGGGAGCAGUACAAACAGAAGACACAAAGCCAAGUGUGGAAACACACAAGCCAGUGCACAACUGCAGAACUGCAGCAAUACUGGAUCCACUUGUCCCAGGCCAGGGAACUCUCCCCAAGGUUCUAUUUAUAUCUAAAAUCUGAUUAAUGUCGUUGGACUCUGUGAGCUCCCUGAACACAUUUUAAUACAUCUGAGUAUUUUGGUCAAUAUAAGGAAUUGGGUUGAGAAUGGAUCAACAACUGACAUUUUUUUGAAGAACUCAGGAAUAAUAAUGUCUGAGAGGUGAUGAGGCAGCUAUGCCUAAGAUGUCCAAAUAGCUUUUCCCUAUAAAUAUGACUGUAAUGAAUGGUACAUAAUACCAGUUCUAGAUGAAGGAAUGCUCAGUGCAUUCAAAAGAACUGAGAAGUCAGAAAAGCCUGGAAAUAUUUGGCAUUACUACAUGUCAUAAAAGUGUGAUGAUAGAAUAAAGAGAUAAAGAGCAUAUCAUCAUUACCUAUUUUAGUUUCAUUUUCUUUAAACAACAGUCAUUGUCUUGAAAAUCACUUAGCAAGGUCCUAUUUCCUACUUUACCUUAAGUUGUCAUCUAGAUGUAAUCUCAACUUUAUUUUGUAUAUAAAGAGCAAAAGAC
rnacentral:lncRNA from 1 species